rnacentral:rRNA from 1 species
UGAAUUAGUGUGAAUCGCAGACUGCUUUGAACAUCGACAUCUUGAACGCAUAUUGCGGCCAUAGGCUUGCCUGUGGCCACGUCUGUCCGAGCGUCGGCUUAUAAACUAUCACUGCGCGUAAUAAGCAGUGGCUUGGGAGA